rnacentral:rRNA from 1 species
UGGCGACGGGUGAGUAACGCUGGGGAACCUGCCUUGCACCGGGGGAUAACACUUGAAAUAGUGCUAAUACCGCAUAAGCGCACUAGAGCCGCAUGGGCUCGGUGGUGAAAAACUACCGGUGGUGCAAGAUGGACCCGCGUCUGAUUAGCUGGUUGGCGGGGUAACGGCCCACCAAGGCGACGAUCAGUAGCCGGCCUGAGAGGGUGAACGGCCACAUUGGGACUGAGACACGGCCCAAACUCCUACGGAAGGCAGCAG